UACGUAGGGGGCAAGCGUUGUCCGGAAUCAUUGGGCGUAAAGAGCGUGUAGGCGGCUCGAUAAGUCUGCUGUGAAAGUCCAGGGCUCAACCCUGGAAGGCCGGUGGAAACUGUCGGGCUAGAGUCCGGAAGAGGCGAGUGGAAUUCCGGGUGUAGCGGUGGAAUGCGUAGAGAUCCGGAAGAACGACCGGUGGCGAAGGCGGCCUGACUGGGCGUGAUCUGACGCUGAGGCGCGAAA
rnacentral:rRNA from 1 species